CAGUAGCCGCGGUAACACGAAGGGUGCAAGCGUUACUCGGAAUUACUGGGCGUAAAGCGUGCGUAGGUGGUGGUUUAAGUCCGUUGUGAAAGCCCUGGGCUCAACCUGGGAAUUGCAGUGGAUACUGGGUCACUAGAGUGUGGUAGAGGAUAGUGGAAUUUCCGGUGUAGCAGUGAAAUGCGUAGAGAUCGGAAGGAACAUCUGUGGCGAAGGCGACUAUCUGGGCCAACACUGACACUGAGGCACGAAAGCGUGGGGAGCAAACAGGAUUAGAUACCCCGGUAGUCCCUGUCUCUUAUAC
rnacentral:rRNA from 1 species